CGAGCGGUAAGGUUCUGCACUUAGUAUUUGACCAGACAAGUCCAUGUAAAUGGAAACUGUAUGAAGCAAGGCAUCUCCAAGGCUGGAGGUUCCGAGUCGAAUGUUAAGUGUAGAAUACACGAGCGGCGGACGGGUGAGUAACGCGUAAGAAUGUACCCCAAAGUGAGGGAUAAUUCCGGGAAACCGGGACUAAUACCGCAUGUGCUCUUCGGAGUAAAGCUUUAUGCGCUUUGGGAACAGCUUGCGUCUGAUUAGCUAGUUGGUAAGGUAACGGCUUACCAAGGCGACGAUCAGUAGCUGGUCUGAGAGGAUGACCAGCCACACUGGGACUGAGACACGGCCCAGACUCCUACGGGAGGCAGCAGUAGGGAAUUUUCCACAAUGGGCGAGAGCCUGAUGGAGCAACGCCGCGUGCAGGAUGAAGGCCUUAGGGUCGUAAACUGCUUUUGUCUGUGACGAAUAUGACGGUAACAGACGAAUAAGGGUCGGCUAACUACGUGCCAGCAGCCGCGGUCAUACGUAGGACCCAAGCGUUAUCCGGAUUUACUGGGCGUAAAGAGUUGCGUAGGUGGUCUGUUAAGUAAAUAGUGAAAUCGUGUGGCUCAACCAUGCAUCCAUUAUUUAAACUGGCAGACUUGAGAGCGAGAGAGGUAGAUGGAAUUGCUA
rnacentral:rRNA from 1 species